GACCGGGGAAAGGAGGUGCUGGAGCGCCUUCUCACGGUGGCUGUCGUGCUGUUGUUCGCUAGGGGCGUGCGGAAGAUGGAGAGGGCACUGCCGGCUGCGAUGCUGCGGGAGAAGCUGCCCAGGUUCCUCUCUGUAUCCUCUCUCCUCAUCUUCCCUGCCUCCUAUAAUCUCUCCUCUCUUCUAUGUAGCUCUCUUUGAACAUGAACAAUUACUGUUUUAUAUUGUUGGAUCUUAUUUGUUUAGCAUUGUCUCACUAUCAGAAGAUGAUCCAAUACGCUUAGCUCUGGUUGUGUGGUUGGUUAAUUUGAGAGAAGUAUCAUCAGUUGCCAUUGUUCUGAUGCGCAGAACAUCAUCAAUUACCACCUACAAGGCCACACAAACGGUCCUCCAUCAGCUCUACAAGAUGAACCUGCCGUCCUACACUUGUCUCUACAACUACGUUCUCAUUAGGUUGGACCAUUAGAUGGCGAUUAUUUCCUUCACCUGCUCGCAAUGCACUGUGCUAGGGUUCAUUUCUUUGGCUUGGUUCGUAUCUGAUAGGAGAGGCAGGACCUGGCUUAGUAAGUGAUGAUCACACACCUUCACCUAUACGGCAAAUGGAUCAAGGUAGUAAUUCAGAGAUUAGUUCAUCAGCUAGAUUUUGAAAUGAAGUUAACCUGCUCUCCGCCGCUUAGAUUUUAUAAAAUGGCUGUCCGUGAUCUAAUAUUCCCCCUAAUUCAGUGUAUUCAUGAGUUAAAUGAGAAUAUCAGUCAACAUAUUGAGAUCAUUUGUUGUUAUGUUCGAAUAACUAGGCCAUGCCUUUUGGCAUCUUGUUUGCUUGUAGAACUAUUUUGCUUCAGCAAUCUGUAGUCUGAUCUUCCAUGAACCAAACCAAAAUUGUGAGUGCA